rnacentral:lncRNA from 1 species
UUCAGGUCAUCAGCUCAUUAGUAGAGACUCCAAGACCUGAAACUGGUGUGUCAGAGAAAGGAGACAUGCAAAAUGUGCAGUGUUGGGGUGCCUCCAGGACCAGGGUUGGGAACCACUGAUAUAGAUCAUCCUCAUCCAAAAACAUGCAGGAACAGCGGCACCUGUGAAGUUACUAGAAAAGGUCCAUCCUGCUUGAAUCAGGACAUUAAGCAAGAACUAGUCAAAGAAUGUUUAGAGGAUGACUUUGAGUGGCCACCAAAAAAGAAAACAUCAUACACAGAUGAGAGUGGACAGACCUCAGAUCCGGACAUCUUUUGAUAUUUAAGUGUGAUAUUCUAAGUGCAUAGAAACACAAGCAGGAUGGCUAUGUAUGACAUAUUGAAUGUAUCUG